CAAUACAAACUUUUGUUGUUGAUGUAAGGCUAACUCCUGCUUCCAUGGUGGCCUAAAUUUUUUCCUUUGUGACUGCUAGGUUUGCACUCGAUGUUUGGGUCUUUGUAUACUGAUCCUGGUUGAGGUUGGGGGCAAGGUGAGCCUGGUUUUAUAGGCUUUGAUGCAUUUAUUUUAUGUACUCUGUUAGGUUAAAAUUUAUUAUCGAGAUAUUGAUGGUUGUUGUGGUAGUUGGUUUUGCUGUACCUGACUGAGGGUUAUUGUAGUUUUGUUUUAUUUUCACACUUUGUUUGUUGGGGGUCUGCUUAGAGUAGCAGGAUACCUUCGACCUUAUUUUGGUGAAGGUUAUGUGAAUUUGGUUG
rnacentral:lncRNA from 1 species